AAAUCAAUAUUUAAAUAUAAGGAUAAUUGCCUAUAUACCCCUCAAAACUUUGGAAAUAUCUCAUUUACCUCUACUUUUUAUUUUCUUUCCAAUAUAUCCCUCAUAUGUUCCUCCGUUAUUCUAAUGUAGUACACUGAACUUUAGCAAAUAGCAAGGUUUCAGUGUAAGGAUAGUAAUUGACACUAUCCUAGCUGUUUUGAGUGUUGUUGGA
rnacentral:lncRNA from 1 species